rnacentral:rRNA from 2 species
GACCGCAUGGUCCGAGCUUGAAAGAUGGCUUCGGCUAUCACUUUUGGAUGGUCCCGCGGCGUAUUAGCUAGAUGGUGGGGUAACGGCUCACCAUGGCAAUGAUACGUAGCCGACCUGAGAGGGUAAUCGGCCACAUUGGGACUGAGACACGGCCCAAACUCCUACGGGAGGCAGCAGUAGGGAAUCUUCCACAAUGGACGAAAGUCUGAUGGAGCAACGCCGCGUGAGUGAAGAAGGGUUUCGGCUCGUAAAACUCUGUUGUUAAAGAAGAACAUAUCUGAGAGUAACUGUUCAGGUAUUGACGGUAUUUAACCAGAAAGCCACGGCUAACUACGUGCCAGCAGCCGCGGUAAUACGUAGGUGGCAAGCGUUGUCCGGAUUUAUUGGGCGUAAAGCGAGCGCAGGCGGUUUUUUAAGUCUGAUGUGAAAGCCUUCGGCUCAACCGAAGAAGUGCAUCGGAAACUGGGAAACUUGAGUGCAGAAGAGGACAGUGGAACUCCAUGUGUAGCGGUGAAAUGCGUAGAUAUAUGGAAGAACACCAGUGGCGAAGGCGGCUGUCUGGUCUGUAACUGACGCUGAGGCUCGAAAGUAUGGGUAGCAAACAGGAUUAGAUACCCUGGUAGUCCAUACCGUAAACGAUGAAUGCUAAGUGUUGGAGGGUUUCCGCCCUUCAGUGCUGCAGCUAACGCAUUAAGCAUUCCGCCUGGGGAGUACGGCCGCAAGGCUGAAACUCAAAGGAAUUGACGGGGGCCCGCACAAGCGGUGAAGCAUGUGGUUUAAUUUCGAAGCUACCCGAAGAACCUUACCAGGUCUUGACAUACUAUGCAAAUCUUAAAAGAUAAGACGUUCCCUUCGGGGACAUGGAAUACGGGGGGGGCAG